UAUGGUCAUAUCCCGCUGAAGAACCAGUUCUCAUCCGAUCAACAAAGUUAAGCAGCGUCAGGCCUAGUCUGUACCUUUAUGGGUGACCGCUUGGUAAUACCAGGUGUUGAA